rnacentral:rRNA from 1 species
GACGAACGCUGGCGGCGUGCUUAACACAUGCAAGUCGAACGGAAAGGCCCUGCUUUUGUGGGGUGCUCGAGUGGCGACCGGGUGAGUAACACGUGAGUAACCUGCCCUUGACUUUGGGAUAACUUCAGGAAACUGGGGCUAAUACCGGAUAGGAGCUCCUGCUGCAUGGUGGGGGUUGGAAAGUUUCGGCGGUUGGGGAUGGACUCGCGGCUUAUCAGCUUGUUGGUGGGGUAGUGGCUUACCAAGGCUUUGACGGGUAGCCGGCCUGAGAGGGUAACCGGCCACAUUGGGACUGAGAUACGGCCCAGACUCCUACGGGAGGCAGCAGUGGGGAAUAUUGCACAAUGGGCGGAAGCCUGAUGCAGCAACGCCGCGUGCGGGAUGACGGCCUUCGGGUUGUAAACCGCUUUCGCCUGUGACGAAGCGUGAGUGACGGUAAUGGGUAAAGAAGCACCGGCUAACUACGUG